ACUCAAAGGAAUUGACGGGGGCCCGCACAAGCGGCGGAGCAUGUGGAUUAAUUCGAUGCAACGCGAAGAACCUUACCUGGGUUUGACAUGCACAGGACGCCGGCAGAGAUGUCGGUUCCCUUGUGGCCUGUGUGCAGGUGGUGCAUGGCUGUCGUCAGCUCGUGUCGUGAGAUGUUGGGUUAAGUCCCGCAACGAGCGCAACCCUUGUCUCAUGUUGCCAGCGGGUAAUGCCGGGGACUCGUGAGAGACUGCCGGGGUCAACUCGGAGGAAGGUGGGGAUGACGUCAAGUCAUCAUGCCCCUUAUGUCCAGGGCUUCACACAUGCUACAAUGGCCGGUACAAAGGGCUGCGAUGCCGCAAGGUUAAGCGAAUCCUUUUAAAGCCGGUCUCAGUUCGGAUCGGGGUCUGCAACUCGACCCCGUGAAGUCGGAGUCGCUAGUAAUCGCAGAUCAGCAACGCUGCGGUGAAUACGUUCCCGGGCCUUGUACACACCGCCCGU
rnacentral:rRNA from 1 species